AUUCCAGCUCCAAUAGCGUAUAUUAAAGUUGUUGCAGUUAAAACGCUCGUAGUCGGAUUUCGGGGCGGGCCGACCGGUCUGCCGAUGGGUAUGCACUGGCCGGCGCGUCCUUCCACCCGGAGACCGCGCCUACUCUUAACUGAGCGGGCGCGGGAGACGGGUCUUUUACUUUGAAAAAAUCAGAGUGUUUCAAGCAGGCAGUCGCUCUUGCAUGGAUUAGCAUGGGAUAAUGAAAUAGGACUCUGGUGCUAUUUUGUUGGUUUCUAGUACUGAAGUAAUGAUUGAUAGGGAUAGUUGGGGGUGCUAGUAUUGAGCGGCCAGAGGUGAAAUCCUUGGAUUCGCUCAAGACUAACUUAUGCGAAAGCAUUCACCAAGGAUGUCUUCAUCA
rnacentral:rRNA from 1 species